rnacentral:rRNA from 1 species
AGAAUCAACGCUGGCGGCGUGCCUAACACAUGCAAGUCGAACGAGAAAGUGGAGCAAUCCAUGAGUAAAGUGGCGCACGGGUGAGUAACACGUGACUAACCUACCUUUUAGUGGGGGAUAACCUAGGGAAACCUGGGCUAAUACCGCAUAACACUUACGAGUCAAAGCAGCAAUGCGCUUGGAGAGGAGUUCGCGGCAGAUUAGUUAGUUGGCGGGGUAAUGGCCCACCAAGACGAUGAUCUGUAUCCGGCCUGAGAGGGCGCACGGACACACUGGAACUGAAACACGGUCCAGACUCCUACGGGAGGCAGCAGUGGGGAAUUUUGCGCAAUGGGGGAAACCCUGACGCAGCAACGCCGCGUGGAGGAUGAAGCCCCUUGGGGUGUAAACUCCUUUCGAUCGGGAAGAUAAUGACGGUACCGAUAUAAGAAGCCCGGCUAACUUCGCGCCAGCAGCCGC